rnacentral:lncRNA from 10 species
GCAUUAGACAGAAAGCUGGAAGUUGAAAUGGUGGAGUCCAACUUGCCUGGACCAGCUUAAUGGUUCUGCUCCUGGUAACGUUUUUAUCCAUGGAUGACUUGCUUGGGUAUGGAGAGUCGGCUUGACUACACUGUGUGGAGCAAGUUUUAAAGAAGCAAAGGACUCAGAAUUCAUGAUUGAAGAAAUGCAGGGUUUUUAAUGACCACAACAAGCAAGCAUGCAGCUUACUGCUUGAAAGGGUCUUGCCUCACCCAAGCUAGAGUGCAGUGGCCUUUGAAGCUUACUACAGCCUCAAACUUCUGGGCUCAAGUGAUCCUCAGCCUCCCAGUGGUCUUUGUAGACUGCCUGAUGGAGUCUCAUGGCACAAGAAGAUUAAAACAGUGUCUCCAAUUUUAAUAAAUUUUUGCAAUCCA